AUACUUAGUUGACAGGGGAGAUACCAUGACCAUGAAAGUGUUCUUUCCAAGGCAAAGCAUAUCCAUUGAACUUGGGAUGUGCUAGCCUCAGCAAUUUCCACAAAUGAAGGGAAUUUCACUGAAUAAUUUGGAGGGAGGC
ensembl:snRNA U1 U1 spliceosomal RNA